ACUUCCAUACAACUGUAAAACAAAACUAAAGCAAGGAGCUAAGUGAGGAAUAAAGCAAUGGAACAAAACUAACAAAUAUGUUGAGAGGAAAGGAAAGAAAGAAAAAAAAAGAAAGAAUAGAUAUGCAAAGCUAAAUAGGGAUAGAUGAAGAGUAUUUAUAUU